UACGGAGGGUACAAGCGUUAUCCGGAUUCACUGGGUUUAAAGGGUGCGUAGGCGGAUAGGUAAGUCCGUGGUGAAAUCCUGCAGCUUAACUGCAGAACUGCCGUGGAUACUAUCUAUCUUGAAUGUCGUGGAGGUUAGCGGAAUAUGUCAUGUAGCGGUGAAAUGCUUAGAUAUGACAUAGAACACCCAUUGCGAAGGCAGCUAACUACGCGAUAAUUGACGCUGAUGCACGAAAGCGUGGGGAUCAAACAGG
rnacentral:rRNA from 1 species